AAAGACAAAGGAACGAGGAUAAAGGAAAGUAUGAAGCAGCGGGGAAAAGGAAUCAAGAAAGCGAGCAAACGCCGAACCAAGGAAAGAAAGAAAGAAAGAAAGAAAGAAAGAAAGAAAGAAAGAAAGAAAGACAAAGAAUAAGAAGCGACGAAGAAAGAAACUAGAAAAUGGUGAAGAGAAAUAUGACUCGUUUCGUAAGGUGACAGGUUACUGGUGCCGUGCCUAGUACCGCCGGUAAAACGAGGAUCAAGCCUCCACCUGUGCCCCUGAAACUACACCUCACCCAUCGUGUGCUCAGUCUAACGUGAGAGAAAAUGCGAAACCAUCACCACUACCCUCAUCAUCAUCUGCAUCAUCACCAUCUACAAGAGUAUACGAGGAUGCUAUGCUCUCACUACGGCGGACAGACAGACGCAAUCACCUAUACGCAUACACACCCACACACACACGGACCAGCCAGCGGACAACACACACUCGUAAGGGGAGCAGUGCGGCUAGAUAUCACAGGUGGACGGAGAUAGUGGGUGUGGUUUGUGGAAUAUAUGGCAGAUGUUGGGGUGGUUCGGACUGCAUCUGCUUAUGACCCACCAACUCCACCACCAUCAACACCACCAUCAUCACCACCAUCAUCACCACUGCUACCACCACCACUAUUAUAAGAGGAAAGAGGAAAGUAGCUCGAGUGGCCGCCUGUGAUAGCUGCAGUGGACGGCGGCACCCUCGAAAGAGACUGACGUGACUCCACUUAAUAUCCGUGCAGGGAAGCAGCCCUGGGGAGGUGUAUGUACAUAUACAUGGCUGGAGUGUCAGAUCCAAAGCUGUACUGCAGGUUAGAAGUGCUCACCUGUAAGCCUUCAACCAGAAUCGCAAAGAGAUGCUCGCCGCCAGAUGUCGCUUCAGAGUCAGAGGGCAAAGAGACAGAAAUGAGCACCGAGGCAACGCGCAGCACCUCAUACACGUCCC